rnacentral:rRNA from 1 species
UACGUAGGGUGCAAGCGUUGUCCGGAAUUAUUGGGCGUAAAGAGCUCGUAGGCGGUUUGUCGCGUCUGCUGUGAAAACGCGAGGCUCAACCUCGCGCCUGCAGUGGGUACGGGCAGACUAGAGUGCGGUAGGGGAGAUUGGAAUUCCUGGUGUAGCGGUGGAAUGCGCAGAUAUCAGGAGGAACACCGAUGGCGAAGGCAGAUCUCUGGGCCGUAACUGACGCUGAGGCGCGAAAGCGUGGGGAGCAAACAGG